rnacentral:rRNA from 1 species
UUUACUUAGAGUUUGAUCCUAGCUCAGGGUGAACGCUGGCGGUAUGGAUAAGGCAUGCAAGUCAAGGGGACCGCAAGGUCACCGGCAGACGAGGUAGUAACACGUAGGAACGUCCCCCAGAGUCUGGUAUAGCUCGCCGAAAGGUGAGGUAAUCCCAGAUGGUCCCAGC